GGCGAACGGGUGAGUAACGUAUCGGAACGUACCUUUCAGUGGGGGAUAACGUAGCGAAAGUUACGCUAAUACCGCAUAUUCUGUGAGCAGGAAAGCAGGGGAUCGCAAGACCUUGCGCUGAUUGAGCGGCCGAUAUCAGAUUAGCUAGUUGGUGAGGUAAAGGCUCACCAAGGCGACGAUCUGUAGCGGGUCUGAGAGGAUGAUCCGCCACACUGGAACUGAGACACGGUCCAGACUCCUACGGGAGGCAGCAGUGGGGAAUUUUGGACAAUGGGGGCAACCCUGAUCCAGCCAUGCCGCGUGAGUGAAGAAGGCCUUCGGGUUGUAAAGCUCUUUCAGCCGGGAAGAAAUCACAUGGGUUAAUACCCUGUGUGGAUGACGGUACCGGAAUAAGAAGCACCGGCUAACUACGUGCCAGCAGCCGCGGUAAUACGUAGGGUGCGAGCGUUAAUCGGAAUUACUGGGCGUAAAGCGUGCGCAGGCGGUUUGUUAAGAUAGGCGUGAAAUCCCCGGGCUCAACCUGGGAACUGCGUUUAUGACUGGCAGGCUAGAGUAUGGCAGAGGGGGGUGGAAUUCCACGUGUAGCAGUGAAAUGCGUAGAGAUGUGGAGGAACACCGAUGGCGAAGGCAGCCCCCUGGGCCAAUACUGACGCUCAUGCACGAAAGCGUGGGUAGCAAACAGGAUUAGAUACCCUGGUAGUCCACGCCCUAAACGAUGUCAACUAGGUGUUGGGUGGGUAAAACCAUUUAGUACCGGAGCUAACGCGUGAAGUUGACCGCCUGGGGAGUACGGCCGCAAGGUUAAAACUCAAAGGAAUUGACGGGGACCCGCACAAGCGGUGGAUGAUGUGGAUUAAUUCGAUGCAACGCGAAAACCUUACCUACCCUUGACAUGUCCAGAAGCUCUUAGAGAUUUGAGUGUGCCCGAAAGGGAGCUGGAACACAGUGCUGCAUGGCUGUCGUCAGCUCGUGUCGUGAGAUGUUGGGUUAAGUCCCGCAACGAGCGCAACCCUUGUCGUUAUGCCAUCAUCAGUGGGCACUUUACGA
rnacentral:rRNA from 1 species